rnacentral:lncRNA from 1 species
UUCGAUUGAGGUGAUGUUAACUCUUUGAUCUCUUUUUUUCUUUUUAAGAUUUUUUUUAACAUUUUUGUGUAAUUUUUUGUGGUUUUAUUUAUUUAUUUAUUUAUUUUUUUGCAUCCCAUGACUUUUCUCAUCUUUAAUCUUAUUUCUUUAAUAAUAUUUUGUUUGCUAUGUCACCAAUUGUAUGUGUGCAAGUGCAUGUAUG